ACGAAGGGAAAAGGAAGAGGAGGAAGUGCUGGAGAUGUGCUCGAACAGGUGAGCCGUACCGGGGGGUGACAUCAUCCCCGUCCGCCGUCGCUCUCCUCGUGCCCAGAAGGCGGCGGCAUCGGGCCGAGCAACCGGGGCCCCGGUAAAAGCGCUACGUCACAGAGCGGAGCGGAGAGAACCGGGAGGAGAUGGACGCACGGUAUCGCGAGAGCGGCGUGCCGCGACCGCAGCGCUGGAUGGCGCUGGUGGGGGCUGGAUGCGCCCACGGCUCGCCCUCUCUCUCCCGUUAAAUCACACGGCAGGACACGCGAUCGGACGGAGACUGGCGGCGACGGCGGCCGGGGUGAGUGAAUAGACCUGCACGCUACACGGGCUCCAUCACGGCUACACCGAGGACUCGCGUGCGACACCGGACAGAGUAGGUUGGUCUUUGUCUCUCGCAGGCAAAGUGAAAGAAGAGAAGGAAGCAUCGAAGGAGUCCCCACAUGGGAGCAGCGGCGCCGUCUGAUCCACUUUUAUCUGAUAGAAUUUGCCAAAGGACACUUUGGACGCACGCUCAUGUCUUCAAACGCAAACUACUAAAUCCAAGGAGCUAAAAACAGAAAUACAAAAAAAAAAGCCCACCGGUGGCUCUUGCGAGUGGACAGAUUUCGAAGUAAAAUCACGGCUGGAGAGGGGCAGCGUUGUAUGGGUGCCAAACCCCCAUCCAAGACACACCACAUCUUCUCAGCCUUCAGCCGCCGCCUCCCUCCUCACCCUCCGUCCAUCUCCCCCUCGCCCGGCCUUCUCUCAUUCUCCCUCUUUGUCUCUCAUGGGAGUGACAUAGAGGCCGUCGCCUGGUCUGCUGCCCCGCCCCUUCUCCGCCUCGCCGUGGACACGGGGGCGUCCAGGUAGUGAUGUCGUGGAAGAGGAACUACUUUGCGUCGGGUGGCGGAGCGGCAGGCGGGGUGCAGGGGCUGGUGACCCCGAGAACCAUGACCUCCAUCGCACCCAGCAAAGGCCUGAGCAACGAGCCGGGACAGAACAGCUGCUUCCUCAACAGCGCCCUGCAGGUUUUGUGGCAUCUCGACAUCUUCCGCAGGAGCUUCCGACAGUUGACCACUCACAAGUGCAUGGAGGACUCGUGUAUCUUCUGCGCUCUAAAGAGUAUCUUCGCUCAGUUCCAGUUCAGCAGUGAGCGCGUCCUGCCGUCGGACGCGCUACGGAGCGCUCUGGCCAAGACUUUCCAAGACGAGCAGCGCUUUCAGCUGGGCAUCAUGGACGACGCUGCUGAGUGCUUUGAGAAUCUCCUGAUGCGCAUCCACUUCCACAUCAGCGCCGAGAGCCGGGAGGACAUCUGCACGGCCAAGCACUGCAUACCACACCAGAAGUUUGCCAUGACUCUGUUCGAACAGUGUGUGUGCAACAGCUGCGGAGCCACAUCGGACCCCCUGCCCUUCAUUCAGAUGGUUCAUUACAUCUCCACUACGUCCCUCUGUAACCAGGCGGUGAGGAUGCUGGAGUGCAGAGAGAAGGCCACGCCGGACAUGUUCGGUGAACUGCUCCGCAACGCCAGCAACAUGGGAGACCUGCGCAACUGCCCCAGUAACUGCGGGGAGGUGCUACGUAUCCGCCGGGUGCUGAUGAACUCACCGGAGAUUGUGUCCAUUGGUCUGGUGUGGGAUUCAGACCACUCUGACCUCGCCGAGGACGUCAUACACAGCCUGGGAACCUGCCUUCGUCUGGGAGAUUUGUUCUACCGUGUGACAGAGGAGAGGGCUCGCCAGGCGGAGCUCUACUUGGUGGGCAUGGUGUGCUACUACGGCAAGCACUACUCCACCUUCUUCUUCCAGACCAAGAUACGCAAGUGGAUGUACUUCGACGACGCCCACGUCAAAGAGAUCGGCCCUAAGUGGAAGGACGUGGUGUCUCGCUGUAUCAAAGGCCACUAUCAGCCCCUGCUGCUGCUCUACGCUGACCCCCGUGGGACGCCUGUGAUACUGCAGGAGAGCCCCAACCCCUGUACCAGCUCCAACCCGCAGCUGGAGCUCCAGCACUGCAGCAGCAGCAGCAAGGCCGGUUACGACAGUGAAGACUCUGGUCGGGAGCCGUCCAUAUCCAGCGACACCCGGACCGACUCUUCGACGGACAGCUCGAGCCACCGCGCUUCUCGCAGCCGAUCGCUCCACCAGUCCACGGGCAGCCACCUCUCCAGCGAGUCCCAGACGACAGUGGUGUGCAAUCACGACAUCGGCGCUCCGCAGCUCGGUGCUGACGCUGGAGAGUCAGCAGUGGAGGGUCCUCCUCGCCCGCCUUCUCCUCCCCUGCAGGAGUACAAGGAGACGGCCGUCUUCCUCCUCUCUUCCCGCAGGCCCCUCACCUCCUCUUCCUCUUCCUCUCGCCCCCUGUCCUCCUCCUCCUCGUCAGGAGUCGGGGGCUGCGAGGGCGGGGCUGGGGGGCCCCACUGGGAGGAUGAAAGCACUAGCAGCGAGAGCAAGUCCAGUUCUUCAGGAGGCCGUUACAGGCCAACCUGGAGGCCCAGGAGAGAGGCCCUGAACAUCGACAGCAUCUUCACCCGACAGAGAGGCUCAUCUCUGGGCUACAGCACCGUCCCUGGGCCCCCUCACCCUCCAGAGCCCCUGGACCCCCUCCCCUCUGCGGCGCCGGCUCCAGAGCCAGGGUUGCAAGAAGCAGAGGGAAGGGAGAUCGGGGAGUUGGAGGCGGGGUUUGGGCUGGUCGGGCAGCCCAGGUCUCAGGGCAGCGGGCGGACGAUGGGUCCCCCUGCCCCUCCACCUCUGAGAGGGGUGGAGCACCAGCCACGUCUGAUCCAGAGGAUGGAGAGUGGCUACGAGAGCAGCGAGAGGAACAGCAGCAGCCCCGACAGGGAGGUGGGGCAACAGAAGCGGGCGCUGAUGUCAGGACCUUCAUGGCGUUCGGUGCCCAAGUCGAAGAGCAGCAGCGCCAUCCUGCAGGAGCAGCCCUCACCCAGCUGGGUCGCCAGCACCAGCACAGCCGCAGGGCGCAGUGAGCUGGACGAGCUGCAGGAGGAGGUGGCGAGGAGAGCCCGCCAGCAGGAGCAGCAGAAGCGCAGGGAGGCGGAGCGGGAGGCGGCCAUGGGAUUCAACCCCAGACCCAGCAAAUACAUGGACCUGGACCAGCUCCAACACCAGGCUGUGCUCAGACCCCUGCAUGAGGCUAACGCUCAUAGCGGAUUGGCUGUAGCUGCGUGCAUGAGGAGCACUGGGGGCCCAAUCAAACGCAGGCAGGAACAGGAAAUGGACCGGGAGACAGGAGGCGCCCGGCCACAGGGUCCUCGCAGUGAACAGCCUGGCCCGGUCCAAGUACUGCUGACGCCCAAUCAAGAGGAGGAAGAGGACCAGGCGACGCCCAAACAGGACGCUGCUCUGGGCCAGAUCCCACCCCCUCCACCCUAUCGACCCCCGCUCACCCUCAGCAUCCCUCACCCCUACGCCCCUUCCAGCCAAGGGGAGGAGGAGGGCGGAUACGUGGGGGGGAGGAGAGGGGAGGAAGGCGAGGAUGGGAGGGAAGGGACGGGGGUGAGGCUGUGUGAGUUGCUGCAGGCAGGGGGGGUUAGUGUCAGACCUCUGGGGAAGCACUUAGCCAUCUCUCUACCCUCGCUUCCUCUCCGUCUCUGGGAUUCUCAUACCACGCACACCUCACACGCCACACACCUUGAACCCACGCACACGCAUCCUCCCCCUCCGCCCCCCACCCCUCCCCCGCCCUACCCUCUGGAAGCUUCAGGGCAAAGGAAACCCGUCACGCCGCUCUGGCAACCACCGAGGCCCAAUUCCCCCACCGGCGCCGCUCAGCAUUGGCCGAGUCACGGAGCCGCCUCGGACGGCGCCACGCGCCAUUGGUCCUCUUGGAGUUUGGACCGCCCCGACGCCGUGGUGACGCCGUACGACACGCCCCCAGACCGCUGCAUUCCCAUCAGGCCGCAGAUGUCCAGCCAGAACUACAGCUACAGUUGCCAGUCCUCUCCCGGGCACUACGGCUCCCAGCGUGCCCCGGGGCGACAUGGUGAUCCUUGCGGUGAACGGGAAGAGGCUGAGCUUUCUGAGCUUGACACCCUCUACCAGGCCAGUUUGCAGGCUGGAAAGACAGGCUGCAGCCCGUCAGAAAGGCUCAUAUCCAGGGUGGGAGGGCAGGCCCGCUCCAAGACCCCCAACGCAGACAUGGAGAGGAGUGUAUACGGGGCGGACUGCACCAGCACCCCCACCUACCUCAACAAGUCAAUGAUGUUGCGGGAUCUGCGUUUUGGGGCGGAGCCUGAUGAUGGGGAGAACCUGAGGCGAAUUGGACGCAGCCUGAGCGGCACAGUGGUGACCUCUCGCCGCAGCCGCCUGACUGCAACCCGCAGCUUUGUGAAACAGGCUGAUGUCAGUGCCUCUCCUUGCUUACUUCCUCUCUUCUGAGUCCCUGUUGCUAUUCUACCACUAUCAUCCUCCUCCAUCCUCCUCAUCACCAACACCUUCUCAUGACCACCUCCCUCCACCGCUUCACAGGAGCUGUCGGGCAGUGCAGGGAGUUUCUGGCUGUGUCUGACUGGAGUCAAGCUGCCUUCUGAUCAGAGUCCCGCUCUGCUUCACUAGCGCCUCACCCUGUCCCCCUCCAUGUGGGGGCGACAGCGCCGGGUCCCUCGACGGACCUGGAAUUGGCUCAGGAGGAUCAGCUCAGCUAACAUCCAGUUCCUCCUCCUUCUCCCGCAAAACGACAUGCACACGCAAACACAUGCACGCACACAUGCACAUCUGCACUGACGUAGCGCCUCCCUCAGCGCCUGCAGCACCCUGCUUAGCCCUUCCUUGCCUUCCUCCCUCCCUCCUCCCCCUCGACCUACUAUUCUGUCUAUGCAGUCACUCUGACCCCCCAACUACAACCUCAACCUUUCCCCCAACUUCCCGGGACUGUUGUUUCUCGUCUCCCCCUGGGUUUUCGUCAGAAAGGUGGAGCAUGCCGCUUUAGUUGGUGUCGUCGGCUUGCUCGCUCACCGGCCAGGUCUGACUGGGACCGGAGCUCUCAGCAGACUCGUCCUCCACCCACACAGGACCUUUAGCUCAGGGGGAGACUCUAACCAAGUAGCCACGCCUCUUCCUCUUUCUUCACGGGCAUUUCCUGGUGGACGCACACGUAGCUGAACUGUUUCAGAUGGACAGCCAUAUUUUUUCUCUUCCUGUUUUUGGUUGUGUUUUUCUUCCUGUGUGUGCACACAGUAAAUCCGCAGAGACUGAACUCUCUAAUUACUUAAAGUCAUGUACAGAAAAACUCAUGUAUGAAACCUGUAUGUUAAUUAAUAAGACCUUAUGGAAUGUUGAUAAUGAUAAUUAACGAAUAUUGAUAAACUAAACGUGGUACUUCCUCAUGUCUGCAUUUCAAAUAGGAGUGGAGUGCACUUCACAAGUGUCUAGCUGGAGUUACCGCCCCUCUCCCCCCAAACCGCUCGCCGACCUAAUGACAGCUCUCCCGUUUCUACCGGGAGAUUAAACAAGAAAAGCUUUUUUUCUCUGCGUCUUUCCUCGUUCUUUUCUUUCUACCCUUCUUUCUUGCUCUCUUUGAUUCUCGCUUGCUUUCUUCGUUCGAAACAGGAGACAGUGGCGCCGGGAAAAACAGGCCAGCAGCGGAGGGGAGUUGCGAAGGAACGAGAGAAUGUAGGUUAGGAAACCCUUCUCUAAGGCUUUAUCAAUGAAAACAGAUGACUCAAGUGCACUUUGCAAGGUUACUCGGCAGAAGUGCACUUUCCGAAGGCUAUUGGACUGAGACGGAGGGAAGUCGAUGGCGUUCUGGUUUACUUAAGGGCCUCAGGUGAAUUUCAGUGGCACUUAUGAAUUCACAGGUUAUUAUUUCUCCCUCCCACUGAAACUGGUUCCGAGACCUCUGAUGUGAAUAGAGAAAUUGCUCAUGUUCAGCCGGAGACGGUGAUAUGUCUAAUAUGAAUAUGCUUUAUAUGAUAUAUAUGUAUUAGAGGUAUAUUUUCAGCCAGUGAGCUAUCUUCUUCAGAGAUGUCAACCAUCAGUUGUAUGAACACUUAUCAUGACUUAACUCAUCACCCCUCCUUUUACUGAGUAGCAUUCUGACACGUGUAGAGUACAAUUAUUAUAUUCUAUUAAAUAUAAAUUAACAAAGUCCUUAAAAAACAACUGGCCAAUGUAAAUGUAAAGUUCUUGAAGAAUUUACUGAUUGAUCGUUGUGACUAAACCAAAGGUUGGCACUUAACUCAGAGAACGUAUCUAACAUUUUUAUUUUUCAUUUAGGUCCAUGUUGUUGUUUUGUUUUGUUUUGUUUUGUUUGUCUGUUCUGAGUUCUGGAUGUGGGAGAAUGUAGCCAAUUGUAGCGCAUGAGUCCGCUAUGCAAAUCAACCUUCCCUCACAAUCCUGUAUCAGAGACAGUCUGGAGGCAGACACACCCACCCACCCGUGGGGGGCUCUCAUGGACUCUGGCAGAGGCACGAGGAGAGGAAGAGGAGGAGAUCUCAUGUUUAAUGCUGCUGGGGACCUUUUGUUGUACUGCAUCGACUGCUAUGUUUCAACCAAUGGAAUGCAAAAAAAAAAAGAGAGAGCAACGAGGUGGUGGAGGGGGAGAAAGAGAGCGAAUGAAUGUAGACUACUGGAUGAAAGUGUGUGUUUGCGAAUGACUCGACGGCGAGAGACAGAGAAGGGUGGAGGUUUAACUAGAAGGUGGCUGUUUGUGGGUGUGUGCAGGCUGUGUGUGUCAGUUAUGGGGUGGUGUUGCUCGGGGACAGAGGGAACCUGUAUUUUUGCAAUAAAGUUAUUACCAAUGCACUCCCACAGGGGGCGUAACCACCGUAA